rnacentral:rRNA from 1 species
AGGCGACUCUCUGGGCUGUAACUGACGCUGAGGAGCGAAAGCGUGGGGAGCGAACAGGAUUAGAUACCCUGGUAGUCCACGCCGUAAACGAUGAGUGCUAAGUGUUAGGGGGUUUCCGCCCCUUAGUGCUGCAGCUAACGCAUUAAGCACUCCGCCUGGGGAGUACGGUCGCAAGACUGAAACUCAAAGGAAUUGACGGGGGCCCGCACAAGCGGUGGAGCAUGUGGUUUAAUUCGAAGCAACGCGAAGAACCUUACCAGGUCUUGACAUCCUCUGACAAUCCUAGAGAUAGGACGUCCCCUUCGGGGGCAGAGUGACAGGUGGUGCAUGGUUGUCGUCAGCUCGUGUCGUGAGAUGUUGGGUUAAGUCCCGCAACGAGCGCAACCCUUGAUCUUAGUUGCCAGCAUUCAGUUGGGCACUCUAAGGUGACUGCCGGUGACAAACCGGAGGAAGGUGGGGAUGACUUCAAAUCAUCAUGCCCCUUAUGACCUGGGCUACACACGUGCUACAAUGGACAGAACACAGUGCAGCGAAACCGCGAGGUGUAGCCCAUCCGACAAGUCUGAUCUCAGUUCGGCACUCAGGCU